rnacentral:rRNA from 1 species
AACGAACGCUGGCGGCAUGCCUAACACAUGCAAGUCGAACGAAGGCUUCGGCCUUAGUGGCGCACGGGUGCGUAACGCGUGGGAACCUGCCCCUUGGUUCGGAAUAACACAGAGAAAUUUGUGCUAAUACCGGAUAAUGACUUCGGUCCAAAGAUUUAUCGCCGAGGGAUGGGCCCGCGUAGGAUUAGCUUGUUGGUGAGGUAACGGCUCACCAAGGCGACGAUCCUUAGCUGGUCUGAGAGGAUGAUCAGCCACACUGGGACUGAGACACGGCCCAGACUCCUACGGGAGGCAGCAGUGGGGAAUAUUGGACAAUGGGCGAAAGCCUGAUCCAGCAAUGCCGCGUGAGUGAUGAAGGCCUUAGGGUUGUAAAGCUCUUUUACCCGGGAUGAUAAUGACAGUACCGGGAGAAUAAGCUCCGGCUAACUCCGUGCCAGCCGCCGCAGUAACAC